GAAGAGAGAGAGAGAGAAAAUCUAGCCGUUGAAUCUUGAUACUUGUCAUAUAACACGUUUCCCUAUUCCACCUUGCCACCGACGAACGCAAAAACGAAAAUUAGCUCUCGCCCCUAAUAACAUUCCUAUAAUUUCUUUUAAAGUUUAAAUCCUCUGUUCGUUUCUUGGGAAAACGAGAAGCAAGACUCGAAAGGAAAACACGAGCCAAGAAAGAUUACUGUUUGAUAGUAUAUUGUGCGUGGGCCUCAAUCGAAAGUUGGCCGUUCUUAUAGAUGCGUACGGAUGUCGUCGAUGUUUCCUAUCUGCGCUGACUUACUAAGGGAAUGAUUUUGCUUCAAAUAGAGAUGUUCUUUGAAGGUUAAAGAUAGAAGAAGAGAGGUGUGAAAUGAGGAGAAACUUAUUUCAAGAAGCAAAUCAAAACCAAAGGCCACAUAUACGGAAAAGGAAGGAGGAAGGGAAUCACCAAGGAAAAAUGUGCUAUUGUUUGAGUGAGGAGAUUAUCUAGUUCUGCAUUAUCAUAUACUACGUCAAAACUCAAAAGUGAACCUUAAAUGUGUUCUUGUAUAAUCUUUAGUUCGAAGCUGCUGCCUACGGAGUCCACCAUGGAUGGAUUUGGACAAAGUGUUCUCUUUGUAGUCGUCGAGAGUUUUACAUCAAAGUGGUGUUGAAGGAAGAUAACUCUGAUCUUCUCCAUAGGCGAUCCCAGCAUUUUCAUAUAUUUUCUUGGCCAUGUGAUGGAUGUGUAUCACAAUUCCAUUCGUUUGCCCCACCAG